rnacentral:tmRNA from 1 species
GGGGGCGAUCGGUUUCGACGUGGGUCGCGAAACUCCAGGGGCGUGCCGAGGUGCAGGCCUCCUCGUUAAUCAGCUUGCAAACAACUAGUUGCCAACGACGACAACUACGCUCUGGCGGCUUAACCCCGCCUAACCUCCGACUGGCAUGUGCCUGUGCAUCCAGACCCGGGGGACGCGCUCACAGGAUCGCGGAACCGGUGUGCUGAGGGCCGGAACUGCUAAAACGUUCCUGAGCUGGCUCCAUGUUUUCCCCGCCCGCCGGGUAGCAUGAAGCGAGAUCAAUAGGCGUGGACACGCACGUAGAUCCUGUAGCGUAGGGCUUGCGGACGCGGGUUCGAUUCCCGCCGCCUCCACCA